rnacentral:tRNA from 1 species
GGCAAGAUGGCCGAGUGGUCUAAGGCGCUGCACUCAAGUGGCAUUCACUUGUCCAACAAAGUUGGAUGCAUUGCAGUCUCGAAAGAGGCGUGGGUUCGAGUCCCACUCUUGUCA